CCCUUAUCGAGCUCGGCCUUGAUCGCCUUCGCUUCUUCUUCGGUCGGGACCAGAAUGUGCCGGGCGCGGACUUCCUUCUCGCCGGACACCUGCUUGGUGGCGUCCUCAUAGACCUUCUUCAUNNNNNNNNNNGCCUUCGGUUGCGAGCAGGCUGUCCAUCAAGAGACGAUCGCGCGCAAAGGCGAUUUUCUGCUUGAACUCUGCCGAGUCGCCGAUCUUCUUGGCUUCGG
rnacentral:misc_RNA from 1 species